rnacentral:rRNA from 1 species
CUGGCCCUACGGGACGCAGCAGUGAGGAAUAUUGGUCAAUGGGCGGGAGCCUGAACCAGCCAAGUCGCGUGAGGGAAGACGGUCCUAUGGAUUGUAAACCUCUUUAGGCGGGGAGCAAUGCCGGGCACGCGUGCCCGGAGGGAGAGUACCCGCAGAAAAAGCAUCGGCUAACUCCGUGCCAGCAGCCGCGGUAAUACGGAGGAUGCGAGCGUUAUCCGGAUUUAUUGGGUUUAAAGGGUGCGCAGGCGGUCUUUUAAGUCAG